GACGGAGGGGGCUAGCGUUGUUCGGAAUUACUGGGCGUAAAGCGUGCGUAGGCGGCCUUUCAAGUUGGGUGUGAAAGCCCGGGGCUCAACCCCGGAAAUGCGCCCAAGACUAUUUGGCUCGAGACCCGGAGAGGUGAGUGGAACUCCCAGUGUAGAGGUGAAAUUCGUAGAUAUUGGGAAGAACACCAGUGGCGAAGGCGGCUCACUGGACGGGUACUGACGCUGAGGCACGAAAGCGUGGGGAGCAAACAGG
rnacentral:rRNA from 1 species